rnacentral:lncRNA from 1 species
GGCUCCGGUAAUAGAACAAGGGGUCAUAAGACUCCUCGAGAGUCAGACUCUUUCGAGGAGCGUGAAAGAAAACGGCUCCGGGAUUUGUUUACAGACCCGACAGAUGAGGAAUCAUUUGAGGGUUUUUCUCAGGGUUUGGAGGAAGAGAUGGCCAGCUCGGAGGAGGAUGACAUGGAAUGGACUCGCGUGAGGGAGGAUUUGGGUGUUGGGGAAACAGGCAAUGAAAGCAUGGGAGGUGAUUGGCGGGUUGCAGGAUCAGACCCAUGGACUGGCUGGAGGGAUGGAGCGGGAUCCACAGCUGGGGAUGCUGUGGGGCGUAGUCAAAGGUGCUUAAGCUCUGAUGAGGAUGAGGAUGUUGGGGCGUAGUCAAAGGUGCUUAAGCUCUGAUGAGGAUGAUGAUGUUGGGGCACCUGGGAAUUGGGAUGGCAGCUGACAGCAAUGAUGAGCUUGAACUGGGAUAAAUUGGGGUUUGGGACCAAUGUCUAAUUGCGUUGGGCAAGGUAAUCUGGACGGACGCUUGGGCUUUUGUUGGGGAACUUCCUGAAGACGGGUGUGAUUCGUUACUGGAUACGUAAGUUUACCAAGGACACUGGGCAUCGACGGCGGGAGGAACUGUGCGGGGUUUUUCUCUGUGCAACUUGUGUUUAAUCUCGAUAGCUUGGACCUCCGUCGUCUUUUUGACGGGCAAUAUCUACUCGCACUGGAUUGACGCUGGACUGACUGACUUCGAUUCCGGAUUAUCCCUUCUGCUGGCUAUCGGUGAGACCUUUGGAUUUCUAGACGACUACGCUUGGCUAUUGACCUCUGGACCGGAUUGGGACCCUGCUGACUGCCGUUACCCUGACUGCUGAGCCUGGACCUGGAUAUCGUUGGCCGCUGAACCUUAAACUGAAUCCUGACUACGACCACGCUUUUCGUUCGCUGCAGGAAGGAAUAAACAAGCCUGGUUUAUUCUCCUGCUGUUUCUGAGUAGCAGAGAGGAAUCUGCUACCAGUCUGUUGUUUACAUUCUGACUCCUGUUGAUCCUCUUUUGUUUGCAUUGUUUGCCAGGCUGAAGUAAGCACUUUUGAUUUAAUCCCGGAUUAUACUUCUGUUUAACCCGGUUAUCCCUUUGAACCGUUUAAGCUCAAACUGGAGCUGUUUUUUGUUACUUAUCACACUGAAGUCAAGUGUUUGCCCUGGUCCUUUGUUUCCUACGGGCGGUUUUUAGUCUG